GAUGAACGCUAGCGGCAGGCUUAAUACAUGCAAGUCGAGGGGCAGCAGGACUGUAGCAAUACAGUUGCUGGCGACCGGCAAACGGGUGCGGAACACGUACGCAACCUUCCUUUAAGUGAGGGAUAGCCCAGGGAAACUUGGAUUAAUACCUCGUAAUAUUUGAGAGUGGCAUCACUCUCUAAUUAUAGCUCCGGCGCUUAAAGAUGGGCGUGCGACUGAUUAGGUAGUUGGCGGGGUAACGGCCCACAAAGCCUGCGAUCAGUAACUGGUGUGAGAGUACGACCAGUCACACGGACACUGAGACAAGGGCCCGACUCCUAAGGGCAGAAGCAGUAAGGAAUAUUGGUCAGUGGACGCAAGUGUGAACCGGCCAUGCCGCGUGGAGUAUGAAGGUCCUCUGGAUUGUAAACUUCUUUUAUCUGGGAAGAAACCCAUAUUUUCUAGUGUGGUUGACGGUAACAGAUGAAUAAGCACCGGCUAACUCCGUGCCAGCCGCCGCAGUAAGAC
rnacentral:rRNA from 1 species